GCUCGGGGGUGGGAGACAAGCUCCGGAGUCGGAAGAACUGGGUUUGCUUCCGGGCCUAGCCACCAGCUGGCCGAGUGACCUUAGGCAAGUCACUCUGUAAUCUGUCUGCGCCUCAGUUUCCUCCUUUGCCUAUCGAUGUUUGUGGGAUUAAAAUCGCUUUAUAAACUAUAAAGCGUCAGUGUACGUAAGGGAUAAUUAUUGUUUGUAAAUUUUUUUGAGUUGCAAGAAAACAGCAAUUGCCCAAUCCAUGGAUUUUGAAACUGGGAACCUUGGAUUGGAGUUGGAGAUCCCCAGACUCUCUGAAAUUGUAUGCAGAAAUUAGUGCGAAUGUGCAUUUUAAGGGGAUGAGGACCCAUCACCAACAAGUUUUCAAAGGGCGGAAUCACCCCCGAAGAGUUAACUGCAAUUUGUUUAUGCCAUAGGGAGGAAACUGAGGCCUACAUGUCAUUUGGGAUCCUUCACAACCAAUUUGAAGCCCCUGUUUGAAUCCCUGGGAUAUGUGAGCUUUUUUGUGCGUAAUGGGUAUUCGGGGUAACAACACUCCACUGCUUGGCUUCUUUUCUGAGUCUUUUCUUUCCCCAUAGGGUGCCUGAAGUGUGGCUAAUACAUAUGGUACAGUGGCACCCGUUAUAAAGCAGCGGAAAACAAGAGUGGAUAUGUUCUCUAGUAUCAAGAAGCAUAUUUAAUCUUUGGCCCAAUAACUGUUUGUUGCUGCUUAUACCGGUGCCUGACUGCCUUUCUGACUCUUUCACUGACCAUUUUCUACGACCAUGUUUGCCAUCUGUUACUUGCUCCUAUUUUAUAUCCCUAGUCUAUGUGGUUGGUAGUGAGCAGGCAUAUUUUUAAAUGGUGCUGCCAAGUCUAGCUAAUUAAUAGUGCAGGUGGAUUUUUAGCAAGCUGGCUCUCUGAAACAGACUGAAUGAACCAGACAUGGAAUUCCUGAAGAUGUUGGGGGUUAUCUUUAUUAACUGAAGGUUAACAUUCUUUGAGAAGUUUUGUUAGAACCUCUGCUGAACCUCAGAAUCAGUAGAUUUGGAAGUGUUUCAAAGCUUAACUUUCUCCUGGACUGCUUUGUAUUCUAUUUGCUUGCAAGUAUGUACUAAGGUGGCCAAAAUGCCAGUUUUUGCUUCUCUGUUAAUUGUCAGCUGCUUUUAUCUAAUUCCAGGCUAUUGCCCAGCAAACACUAUAGAAAUGUUUGAACAGUUGGAUUUCAAACAUUUUUGUUUUGUGGAGUGGUACAGCUCUAAGCAAGCGAACACACAAGUUUAAAUGUAUUUUGUCUGGUUAGGUGUUACCUGGUUCUCCUAUUGCAUACUAAUAUUUGGAAAAAAAUCAGUUGACUGUACCCUUUACCUAAAGGGCAGAGACAAAUGAUCUCACUGCCAGAGAAAUAACUUUUCUGGAGAAAGAUGUAUUGGUUUUUUGUAAUAAAAUCUGGAUGUACUGCAAAAGAAUCAUAAGACUGUGGUGAUAAGAUGCUUUUCUUGGCAGAAGGGGGAAAAAAAAAACAACUGGAACUCAAAGCUUGAGAUUCUGUGAUGAAAUGUGAGAUGUCCAGGAUAGGAGGUUGAAAGUGUUUCACUACAGUGUUCUGCAUUAGCUGGAGCAGAUGUCUUUCAGUGUAGCCACGGCAUGGACUCCAGAUUUGCAAGACCGGGGACCUGCAGGAGCUUAUGAAGAUGUGACAAGAACUCUGGAGUUGGAUGUCCUUACUUUUGAAUUGUGGGACUAUUGACCUCACUUUCAGAAGAGAGACUGACUAAGCAAGCAAUGCCACCAGCGCUCUUAUGGGGAAUUCAAAGUCCUGAGUUUCUGCCAGACCCUCAGUUGCAAACUGGUGACACUGCAUCCUAAGUGAACUACGAUAGCAAACCCCUUGGGGAAAAAGGGAUCUUAUCUUAACGAAUCUUUGCCCACACAUACUACCACAUACGAUGAAGCUUUUAAUAGAAAGGAGGAAUGUAGAGAGCAGGCUAUCUCAGAAUAAACAUUCACCUACAGAUUUGGUACCUGGAUUUUUACCCAUGGUGAUUCCGGUCACCUUACUACUGAAGAAGACACCUUUCCAGUGGACCACUGUGACCCCAGGAGCAAUCAGCCAUCAUCAUGUGGCCUUCACCUCCACUCCUGUCCUAUUCUACCCAGAUUGAGCAUCACCCUUUAUGUGAAGUCAAACUCCUGAAACCACAUAGCUGAAGCUGUUUAAUCACAACAAAGGCCCUUAAGUGUGUAUUUUGUUUCUUCAGUUCAAACCUUCAGAGACACAUAAUAAAUUUGGACCAGGGGAUUUUUAGUUAUCAACACUGAAGAAUGGCAACAUCUUCUUGAGAGCAACAUUGGACCACAUCCCACAAUCUCAAAUGUUUGAAGUUUAUGAAGUGUCAAGAAUCCCAUCCAUGUCACUGGACACUAUUCUUUUUCCACUUCAAAUCUAUAGUAUCCUACUGAAUGAGAAAAUAGAUAUUCUGACUUACUGGAAUUAAAACAAAGGCACAGUGAAGGCCUCAUAGCAUCUUCUUUGGGAUUACUCAGGAACCAGAACUUUUCAUGCAAAUGUAAGAAAUUUUACAAAGGAAUCCUUUACCUAACAGCAUCUCACAAGGCUUCAAUCAGAUUCCAGAAAAGGCCUCUUGAGAUAUCCAGGUAGACCCUAUAUGGUAAUCCCUUAUGUUUAUAUCGCACUUUACAGUUUCCAAGCACUUUCACAUGUAUUAAUAUCAAUUAUCAAAAUCACACAAUAAAUUAUAAUCCCUUUUUGCAAAUGAGGAAAUGGGAUUUGAAAGAUUGUCCAAAGUGACACUGCUACCAAGUGGUACAAGCCAAGCCUUCUGACUCCCAGUCCAGUUCUCUCCUUGGAAUUAAUUUAGCCUCUACUUUACCCACAAUGUUAAGAUGACUGCAGGUGGGGAACCCCAGGAAAGUGUUCCAACUUCCUUAUCUGGUGCCCUCAACCAGGAUGUCAUAAACUGUACCUAGACCAGAAUGCUACGGAAACACCCCUAAGGUUUAGGAGCAGACUAUCUUCUAUGGUGGUAGAUUGUCCAGUCAACAAGACACAUUUUUAUCUGACAACACUAUACAACAUGAAACACAAAGCUAGAGAUCUUUGUCCAUUUUAAUGGUCUUCCCAAAGAUAGGCUAACUGACUAGAGAUCCUUGUUUGUUUGUUUGCUUUUAAGUCCCAUACUCUAGGACACGCAAGAUCUUAGCUAUGGUUCUUAACCCCCAAACACAUAUUUACACAAAAUGAGCCAUCCAUGUAAAGCAAUGAGGUUUAUGUGUGCAUAUUUACAUGUGUGACAUAUACAUAUAUGUCAUACAGAGAUUCUGUAGUCCAGUAAGGUGGUAAAAAUACUGUAAAUUGUCCCCUCCCUGAUUGAUUAUGUGGUAUAGUAUGUUAGAGGAUCUCAGAGGGCUUGCAGCAAAAAACUCAUUUAGCUGUUUGGCCUAGUAUGUUUAAGACAAGCACAGGAUGGUAUUUUUGCAUCAUUUUAAUGGAAUGAGGCAACUGCCUUAAUGUGGCAUAGCCAGUGCUUCCUGAAUGCCAGCAGAUUGCCCUGGAAACCCAGGAAUAAAUUGCAUCUUUGAAACCUCUCCCCUCUUAUCAAUAACUGCUUUGAAUUAGUAUGUCUUUAUCAUCUGAGAGUCCUUUAUUUUGACCAUUACCUUGAUUUUUCUGUCAAGGGAACCUCUAGAAGACUUCUGGAAACGUGGGCGGGGAGAGGAGAAAAGUUAAUUUAUCUGAAUUUGGAUGGAUUCUGUCAUUUAGCCAUGUACUUUCUGUCCCUAGAGUUGUGCUGUAAACGUAAUUCAAGGGCAUUGCAUCUCAGGUGGGUGAGAAGAUUGGGAAGGGAAGAGGAAGGGGGAAAAUGGAAGAGGAGUGAGCAGGAAAUAUUUUCUUAGAGUUUCUGAGUUGAGGCCCACUGAGAUCUAUCAGUGCUUGAAGAGAAGUCUUCCAGACAUGGAAUUCUUGGAAUAAUAUUUACAAAGAAAUGAAUGCAUUUUGUAACUGUAUGUUGACUGCAAAUACCCCAGUGCUGUUGUCACUUAAAACCAAUAGCCUUGUUCUCUGAUAGUCACAAACCGAAUUUCAGGCAAUGAGAAUUUAUAGCAGAUUUGAAUGUUAAUUUCUUAAUUCUAUAAAUGUAGCCCACCUUUGGGGAAGAAUGACUAGGAAACACCUUGGCCUGCCAAAGGCUUUGCUCACAGUUUCUGGUUUGUGACAUUUUUUGUAUUUCAGCAUUUUGUGAACAACUUAAUCUUAGAUCAUUGGUUUUCCAAAGGCUUUGUGGCCAUGACGUCCUUUGAAUGAAAACUGUGGUGAAGCCUAAAGUAAAAGUGAAGCUGCUCUGGAUGAAGCAGGAAUGGGGGGCCUGAAACCUGCCACAAGCAUCUUCCUUUGCCACCAUGGUGACACCUAAGGAGACUUUACAACACUUAAAAUUCUUCAGAACACAUUUUGAAAAACACUGCCCUAGAUGACAAUAUGUUUGACCUGAAUGGUAUUCUGAUCUGUACCUCUACCCUAACCAGUCCAUGUUCAGAUGGUGCUGAAUAUUCUUAGGAAUACUUACUGUGGACAAAUUCAAAAAAGUACAAGAAGAUGGCUAUGUCUUUGUCGUCCCCCCCUCGAGAAGUUAUAUAGGCCAAAAGUGGUAUCAGCCGGACCUAAAAUUACAGCCCUCUACCCUCGAUGGACUUCCAGUGAUUCCUGGUUUUGGAUAUAGACUGAGUAAUAACUCAUACAUACUUUAUACUGACAGACCUUGUUACCCAACUUCUUUCACAAACACCAGAUGCUCUAGUGGUACUUGAAAUAUGUGAAUUUGAAGUCUCGAUUCUCCUUGAAUACCUGAAUUGCCAGGUAUUGAAGCUGAUGCCUCAUUGAGGCCAUAGUAGACCAACUUGUACAUUUGGACCUCCCAUCAUCAGCUGUGGUACUCUACUUCAUAUGAAAGUGAUAACCGUUAACUAUGAAGCAGAAUUCAAAUACUGGCAACAUAAAGGGUACCUGGUUUUAUGUUCAUCUUAUUCUCAAACUACAAGUUGCUAUGACUCAACCAGUAGUGGUUAUACUGCUGCUUGGUUUUUAUUCACUUUAACUGCUGUUUCCAGGAUAAAUGAGCUAAUAACCUUUAAAAAAACUAAAUUCCAUUGCUAUAUCUGCCUGGCAUAGUCUCUAAAUUAUGAAUACCCAGCUCUAACUACAUGUAAGACCUGAUCCACAAGAGGCAGUCUUUAAACAUCUUUUCUCAUGUAUGUGAUUUAAAAUGUGACCAUUUGAAAAGUUUUCUUACACCAAUGAGCAUUUCUCCUUAAGAUGGGUCCUAUGAUGUCUGGUACCAUCAGCUGUAGGUAUUAGGGAUAUUUUGAAGUAGGCCUUUUGACUGGGCCGUGAUAGCUUGCUUGCUGAGAAUCUCAAGUUGGUUUAUCAUCUACACUUUUUUUUUUUUUUUUUUUUCCUGGAAAUGUGGACUGACAUGAAAAAAAUCUACAAAGCCUGCAGCUGAUUUUGUCAGUAGACUCAAGCUUCCUGCUGCUGUUUCCUAAUGUCACAAGACCACAGUCCCUUAUUCUUGUGGAUGUGUUCAUGGAAUUUUAUCUGUCUUGAUACUGUUUUACACUGAUUCAGAGUGGCUGACUUUAUUCCUUGCCAUGAGAUGCUCUCAGGCAUUGAGACAAUUUAACCUGUUUCUGCAGCAAGGAUUGUUUAUGAACUUCCAGACCGUAUCAUGUUGAACAACUAGACUUUGAUUUACAUCGUGAGAAAAAUCUCAUUUACUUCACAGUUGACUUAAGGGCCAGCUGUCCUCAACUACUUUAAUGAAUGCACUGGUUAAAUGUUGGAAAUGGUUUCUUUAUAUCUCUUAUCCACUAGAUUAAUUUUGAUUACAUGACUUGGUAUGCCGAUCGUCCAAGUGGCCUAAGUGGUUACUUUUGGCUGCUCACCAUCAACAAAAAUAAAGAUGACUAUCCUGCUUCCAUAUGCAACUAUUAUUUGUGAAGAAAAAAUUAUCUACAAACUCAGUUUUUUCACUACCUUCAAAAUAUCAGCUAGAUUCUUUUUUCUCCAGAGAAAAAGACAUUGAUCUACACUGCCAUUCAUUCCCUUUAAUCCUGUCCAACUCAGUCAAAAUGAGGGGCCUAAGGUGAAGAUGAUCAUCUUUCAAGAGUCUAAUGAAUAUUGUGUAUAAGAAUUGAAGGUUGAAAAAACAAAAGGCCUAAAAUUCAAACCUAGGAUCUUACCUAUUAUCUCCAUGCCUCAAAUCUCAUCUAAGUCUGUCCAGCAGCACCAUUCAACCAGUUUGAGGCCUUGACUUGUUUUUAAUUCCCAGAGAUGUACUGAAUUACACAAGAUGGAGACUUGAUUACCAAAGAAAGUAGGGCCAACUUUGAACCCUAUCACUCACAGGUGUAGCAUAGACACAUAAACAACCUCAAGUCUGAAUUGAGAAUACAGCCUUCUCUUGAGCUGAAAAUUCUUGGGCAGAUGAGCAGGAAAAUGGAAAGCUGCUGUACCUAACUGGGUAUUUAAGGUCAGAAAAUUGUAUCCAGAGUAAACGCUAUGGAUUAACCCUGGAGUGCUCAGGGUAGAAACUUAAUUUACAGAGCUUUGGUAUUAAACUAUGUGUUCCAUAUCAUAUCCUAGUUAUUGGUGUGGCUGGCCCUGCUGAAGGUACCCUACUUGUCUAUCUGACUCAGCCCAUGUCUUUGUUGACAUGUUUGUUCAAUCAGACUUGCUGUCCUCAAGACUACAAGUGAUCUCAGCCUAUCUUACACCCAGUUCCACCAAGAUGUUUUAACAGAAGUAACCUGCACCUCACCCCACCAGGACUUAAUGUUCUCAACAGGAAGGACUGUGCUGUGUACUCUGAUCAGCAGCAGCCUCUUUUUUUUUUUUUUUUUUUUUU